rnacentral:rRNA from 1 species
AUGAACGCUGGCGGCGUGCCUAAUACCUGCAAGUCGAGCGAACAGACGAGGAGCUUGCUCCUCUGACGUUAGCGGCGGACGGGUGAGUAACACGUGGAUAACCUACCUAUAAGACUGGGAUAACUUCGGGAAACCGGAGCUAAUACCGGAUAAUAUAUUGCACCGCAUGGUUCAAUAGUGAAAGACGGUUUUGCUGUCACUUAUAGAUGGAUCCGCGCCGCAUUAGCUAGUUGGUAAGGUAACGGCUUACCAAGGCAACGAUGCGUAGCCGACCUGAGAGGGUGAUCGGCCACACUGGAACUGAGACACGGUCCAGACUCCUACGGGAGGCAGCAGUAGGGAAUCUUCCGCAAUGGGCGAAAGCCUGACGGAGCAACGCCGCGUGAGUGAUGAAGGUCUUCGGAUCGUAAAACUCUGUUAUUAGGGAAGAACAAAUGUGUAAGUAACUAUGCACGUCUUGACGGUACCUAAUCAGAAAGCCACGGCUAACUACGUG